GCGUAAGACAGAGAAGGAAAGUGUAAAUUGGCACAAAGGUCCAAUUUACAAUCAACCAGCAAGCUGCAUCCCAUAAUUAUUAGAGAGAACCUCUUUUCUCAGAUAUGCGCGAAAACUGAAGGAUGGCGAUGUUCCAGUUCGCAUCUUGUCUUGGAAAGCACAGAUUUGGGAUCUGUGGCAAAACAUACCGUAGUUUGCAUUGUAGCCAGAGAGGGAAAGCUUCAUUUUGGCAGCAGUUUCAAUGCCAUUUUCUUGGAGGAAGGUGCGCUCCUACUGCCCAUCAGCAAAGGAAUGAUCAGGAGCUCACUUUACUGAGAUAAGUUUUUAAAAAAAUGGAUUUUAAUAUAAAAAGGGGAAAAGAGAGGGUGGAAACAAAAAAACAAUAAGGAACCAAUAAAGAAGAAAGAUUACGCAAAUCACACAUAUUAAGUGGCCAAAGCAAAGUUAACUCAAGAGU